rnacentral:rRNA from 1 species
AUACGAAAGGUGCAAGCGUUGUUCGGAUUUACGGGGCGUAAAGAGAGUGUAGGUUGUUUAUUAAGUCGGAUGUGAAAUCCCGGGGCUCAACCUCGGAACUGCAUUCGAUACUGAUAGGCUAGAGUUUGGGAGGGGUAAGCGGAAUUCCGUGUGUAGCAGUGAAAUGCGUAGAUAUACGGAGGAACACCUGAGGCGAAGGCGGCUUACUGGACCAAUACUGACACUGAGACUCGAAAGCGUGGGUAGCAAACAGGAUUAGAAACCCUAGUAGUCC